AGGCUGGACUGAGGGAGAGAGAGAAGAGAAAGACAUCUAAACUAUUGGAUCAGGUUUUAUUUCAGAAACUCAUUGAUAGAAGUAUAAGAACUGUUAGUCAACCAGAGAUUGAUAAUAAAGUAAAAACUACAUCUAUCAAUAUCAUGAACAAAUUAAUAUUUGAAGAGCUAUUGAGAAGAAUAGCCUCCACUGACUAAGACAUUACACAUUCAUGUACAAUACUUAAUGUACUGCAUGUGUUGCUACAGGUACCUCUAUACAUUUCUAUCACUUUAUUUUGUGUAAUUAUUACAUCACGGAAAAUGUAAAGAUCCACCUCAACUCAAUUAUGCGUAUCAUCACCAAAUAUGGAGAUUGUUAACUAUUAUUGAUAUUCCUUUUUUGUUUUGUUAUUAUAGUCCGUUACUGAUAGUAUAACAAACCUGUAGGCUGUAGUGUAUGGUAGGAGUCAUUUCCUCUAGCUUAAGCUAAUGUUCCAUUCACUACUGAUAUUCCUCUGGUACAACAAUUAUUACAUUUAAUACCUUAAUUCCUUUAUAAUAAUGUACCCAUACAUGCUGCAACUAAAAGUAAUCCUUUUUAUUGUUAUAGAAACAGUUCAUUGACGUAUUAUUAUAUGCUUCUGUUGUUGUUAUCAUUAUUGUCACAACACUGGAAAUGUUUAUUUCCUUUUUAACUGAU